AACAACUAAUAAUUCGAUUAGUCAAAUGAUGGGGUAACGCCUUGAAGGGCUAACUAUGAUACUCCGAAUAGCGUUUAUCUGAGUAAACAGAUAAGGGUUAUAAGCUCGGUGAAGUCGGCUGAGAACAGACCGUAAACAAUGAUGAUAGUGAAGUGAAAUUCAAUAACUUUUCUCUUUGACACGAAAUGCGAACCAGAGGUGGUCGAGUCUGUGAUAGGUCGGUAGUCUAUAAA
rfam:Epulopiscium sp. Nuni2H_MBin001 Nuni2HMBin001_67, whole genome shotgun sequence.